rnacentral:rRNA from 1 species
GUGGGGAAUCUUGCGCAAUGGCCGAAAGGCUGACGCAGCGACGCCGCGUGUGGGAUGAAGGUCUUCGGAUUGUAAACCACUGUCGGGAGGGACGAAGCUCUGACGGUACCUCCAAAGGAAGCACCGGCUAACUCUGUGCCAGCAGCCGCGGUAAUACAGAGGGUGCGAGCGUUGUCCGGAAUCACUGGGCGUAAAGGGCGCGUAGGUGGCCUGAUAAGUCGGGGGUGAAACGCUGCGGCUCAACCGCAGCACUGCCUUCGAGACUGUCAGGCUUGAGCACGGUAGAGGCUGGUGGAAUUCCCGGUGUAGCGGUGGAAUGCGUAGAGAUCGGGAAGAACAUCGGUGGCGAAGGCGGCCAGCUGGGCCGUUGCUGACACUGAGGCGCGACAGCGUGGGGAGCAAACAGGAUUAGAUACCCUAGUAGUCC